CAAGCCACCUGCUGGGCACUCGGGGUUGGGAUCUCCCCUACACCCCCACCGCGGAAGGAUCUGCCCCACACCCCCACCGCGGCGGGCGGCGGACUUUGGAAGAGACCGGCGGGUGCCCACUCGAGUGGUAUUGGCUGGACUGGAAGAUCUGAGCUGCCCUUCCCUGGGCCUGGUGCCCCUUUCUCUGCUACCAACACCGGCCAGGCCAUUCACCCACAGCCAUAGCAGGGCUGGCAUCCAGCCGACCUGAAUUUCCCAAAGGGCUCUCCCAGGUCCUAGAGUCCUGCCGCCGUGAGAGGUCAUCAGACCCUGAUCUUGGGUCUCUGAGAGGGUGGCCUGGCACGAUGCGUAAAUUGAGAUGAGGAAAGCCAAGUUUGGGUGCUGACCAGGGAGUCGCUUUCUACAGGCCCUUUUCUAUAGUGGCCCCGCUGUCAUAACUGCUAGCAACGGAAGGAGGAAGGAGUGGCAGUUGGACAGCAGUGGGCCCAGCCUCCACUGGAAGUACCUACCGGGGCUGCCAAGACUGCGUCCUGAACCUUCAAGCUGUCCCUGCCUGGACGCCUGUCCACAUUUGCAUCUAUAUGAGGCGGAAAUGCUGAAAUGUUCUGAUUCCAGGGUCGAGGGAUCCAGCCUCCAAGCUCAGCGUGGAGCCUGCUUAACAUUCUCUCUCUCCCUCCCUCCCCCCCCCAUCUCCUGUUUGC